rnacentral:rRNA from 1 species
CCUACGGGUGGCUGCAGUGAGGAAUAUUGGUCAAUGGGCGCGAGUCUGAACCAGCCAAGCAGCGUGCAGGAUGACUGCCCUAUGGGUUGUAAACUUCUUUUAUAAAGGAAUAAACUGAGGCACGUGUGCCUUUCUGUAUGUACUUUAUGAAUAAGGAUCGGCUAACUCCGUGCCAGCAGCCGCGGUAAUACGGAGGAUUCGAGCGUUAUCCGGAUUUAUUGGGUUUAAAGGGAGCGUAGAUGGGUUGUUAAGUCAGUUGUGAAAGUUUGCGGCUCAACCGUAAAAUUGCAAUUGAUACUGGCAGGCUAGAGAGCAGUUGCGGUAGGCGGAAUGCGUGGUGUAGCGGUGAAAUGCUUAGAGAUCACAAAGAACACCGAUUGCGAAGGCAGCUUACUAAGCUGCCACUGACAUUGAGGCUCGAAAGUGUGGGGAUCAAACAGGAUUAGAGACCCUUGUAGUC